AUGGUUCGAGGUGGGCGGGGGGGGGGGUGUUGGGGGGGUGGGUGGGCGUGGCUUAACGGCCCCGCCCCCCCCUCCCCGGCAGCCUGCAAUUGGGCGCCGCUGCGGGUGGACGUGGUGGGCCCGCCCUGCGACGGCGGCCGAGGGGAGGCGGAGCUUCUCUGCGUGGCGGGGGGCGGGGCCUCCCGCCCCACCCGCAUCUCCUGGUUGGUCAACGGGGAGGAGGUGACGGGGGCAGCAGCGGCCAAUGAGGAGCCGGGGCGGAGCUCGCUGCCCGUCGGGCGGGAGAGCUGGGAGAGGGGCGACGUCUUCACCUGCCGCGUGACGGCGGCCGAGGGCGGGGCCGCGGUGACGCGGAACAUCAGCAUGUGCACGGCCUGCUUCGGCUCCGCCCCCCUGCCCCAGCUCUUCGCCGCCCCGCCCUCCUACGCCGACCUCCUGAUUGGCUCGGGCGCCGCCUCCUGCCUCCUGGUUGGCUGGCGGCUGGAAGGCGCCGCCCUGGCGUGGCGGGGGGAGAGGGCGGGGCCGCCGGGGACCCCCCACCACCACCCCAACGGCACCCAGAGCCUGGGGCUGAGCCGCCCCAUCUCCCUGCGGCAGUGGGCGGCCGGCGGCACCCUGACCUGCGAGGCCCGGCUCCCCUGCGGGCCCGGCCUCCACCGCGACAUCGCCCUCGGGCCCGCCGGCCCCCUGAAGCCACCCAAGGUGUCGGUCACCCGCGCCCCGGGCGGGGCCGGGCGGGGCGGGCUCCUCCUCUGCGACGUCAGUGGCUUCUCCCCCCGCGACAUCCACAUCCAGUGGGUGGGGGGCCACGCCCAGGACCUCCACGCCCGCACCGAGCAAGGACCAAUCAGGGGCCAGGAUGUCUUCUCGGUCCUCAGCGUCCUCCGAUUGGAGGAAGGGGAGGAAGGGCGGGGCUACGCCUGUGACGUGAAACACCCCGCCCUGCAGAACCCCAUCAUGGCCACUGAAGACGUCGACGACGAAGCCCCCCCCACGGCGACCCCCACGCCCAAGACGCAGGAGGAGCCUUCGUCCCACCACGGCUUCCCCCUGUCGCCGCGAUCCUCCCUCGAACCCCCCUCCUUCCACGAGCUCUUCGUGCGCCAAGAGGCCAACUUGACCUGCACCACCUCGUUGGCCAACGCCACCGUGACGUGGGGGGUGGGGGGUCGCCCGGCCGACCCCGCGGCCGUGACGACUCGGGCCGGCGACGCCUCGGGGACGCGGAGCUGGCUGCGGCUCAGCCUGCGCGACUGGAACGGCACGGCCGGCGUCACCUGCGUGGCGCGGGGCGGGGCCCAGGUGACGCGGCAGGAGCUGAGCCGCAAGACGGGCCCCCUGAGGCCUCCCACCAUCCGCCUCCUCCCCUCCUCCCCCCGCGACGUCUGCGCCGGCCGCGACUUCACCCUCUUCUGCCUCGUGGCGGAUUUCUACCCGCCGGAGGUGGCCGCCUGGUGGAGGGCGGGCGCGAGCCAAGGACCCCCCGCCGAGGGGCCCCGCUGCGACCACGUGACCCAGCGGUGCUCCCUGGUGGUCGCCGUCGACGUCCCGGCGGGCGAAUGGGGGAGGGGCGUCCCCUACGCCUGUUCCGUCGCCCACAUCUCUUCCGGCAAGACGGCGGAGGCGAGCGUCGACAUCCGCGCCGACCCCUGGGAUUGCGCCGGGCGACACUUCGUGCCGUGCGGUUUGACGGGCGACGGCGACGACCUGGAGCUGGAGGAAGACGGGGGCGCCUGGACGACCACGUCCACCUUCGUGGCGCUCUUCCUCCUCCUCGUCUUCUACAGCGGCUUCGUCACCUUCCUCAAGGUGAAAUAAUGGCGCCUCCCCCCUCCCCCACCCCCCUCCCCCGCCGACAACGUCACCCCCCCCGGCCUCGGCCAGCGCGGACGAAGCGCCGGAGAACCUCAAAACGGGGAGAAAAACGCCAAAACCGAGGAUUUCAACAUUCAACUUUAUUAACCGACCCCCCAACUCCGCGGCGGGGGCCGGGGGAGGAAAAAUCCAGUAA